AUACUUCAGAGAUGGUUUAGAAGUAUGGUUUAGAAGUUAUGCUCUUUUAUUUUUUAGGUAACAGUGAGAAAUUGCCUCAAAAUUGUAGCAUAUGUGCCAGCAUCACUUUCCUGGUCCUGCGAGGCUUCCUUAUAGAAGAACUUCAUUUCUACAGGAGCUGAUAAGUGGCAGUGAGGAAGCCACUGUGAAGCACUCAGGAUGCUGUCUGGAGACCAGGAAAGAGCCCGAUCGACCCUCCCUCAGGGAGAGAGGGGUCGAGGAUACUUCCCUGGAGACAGGCUUUAUGGUAGUGGCCACCAAUUCAGCAAGACUGGGGGGCACUGAGAAGACCUCUUAUUACCACCCAACUCUGGCCUCCCUGCCUGCAAGAGCAUCGGAAAUCUGGAUGUCACGUGCCUUUGUGUUCCUGGAGGCCCUGGAAGGGGAGAAGUGAGAACAGUGGCUACUCACCAUCUGAAAUGCCAGCACUCCCAGGAGAAGGACCAGAAGGCUCACACGCUGUGCCAUGCUCAGGUGCUGAAAGCACAGGGAAACCUCUUUAUUCAUGCAAAUAAACAUGCGCAUGUAUAUAUGCAGAGGAAGUCUUGGUCAUUGAGUCUUUACUAAACACCAACUGUGUACCCUGGAAGCAGUAGAGCACACAGGUCCUGGAGCAGGUUGGCUGGCAAUCCUGACUUUAACACUUACUAUUAUGUGACCUGGGGCAAAUUAUUUAACCUCUUUGUGCCUCAUCUGUAGACUGGGGAUAUUUGCUAUGGGGAUAUUUGCUACUGAAAGCAAUAUAUUUUUUUUCCUUUUUAGGGCUAUACUCACGGCAAAUGAAAGUUCUCAGGCUAGGGGUCCCAUCAGAGCUACAGCUGCUGGCCUACACCACAGUCACAGCAACACUGGAUCCCUAACCCACUGAGCGAGGGCAGGGAUCGAAUCCACAUCCUCAUGGCUACUAGUCGGAUUCGUUUCUGCUGCACCACACUGGGAACUCCUAAAAGCAGUUCUUCUGUCCCUUUCCUGUUUGCCCAUUUCUAAUCCCCUCUAACCUUAACAGGACCUAGUAUAGGAAUGAGAUCACUAAGCAACUGAAACUAACCCCUGCCUUAUGCUCUCCUGAAUGCACAGCAUGCCUUGUCUAACCUGUUGAUUCUUUUCCUAGGUAAAAAGAAAUAAGAAUGAAGAGUUAAGCAGUUAAAAAAUGACUAGCCCUCUACUCCCAACAGCUUCCCUAGCAAUCUUGCAGGCAGAUCACACAGGCAAGAUAACAUCUGAAGAAAGUCAGCCAGUCUGCACGCAAUGGAGAAGGAUGAAGAACCCACACUCUCUCGGUGACUCACCGAGAUCCCCCCCCCAUUUCCCCUUUAUUUUAUUUUAAUUUUUAUUUUUUUUAGGGCCAAACCCAUGGCAUAUGGAAGUUCCCAGGCUAGGGGGCAAAUCAGAGCUGCAGGUGCCAGCCUGCGCCACAGCCACAGCAAUGCCAGACCCAAGCUACAUCUGCAACCUACCCCACAGCUCAUAAUGGCACAGAGGGUUAAGGAUUCGGCAUUGUCACUGCUGUGGUAUGAGUUCAAUCCCUGGCCAAUGAAUUUCCACAUGCCAUGGGCAUGGCCAAAAAAAUAAAAAUAAAAAUCAAGCUAGGGAGUUCCCACUGCGGCUCAGUGGGUUAGGAACAUGAUUAGUAUCCAUGAGGAUGCAGGUUCCAUCCCUGGCCUCGCUCUAUGGAUUAAGGAUCUGGUGUUGCCGUGAGCUGUGGUGUAGGUCACAGACACAGCUCAGCUCUGGCGUUGCUGUGGCUGUGGUGUAGGCUGGCAUCUGCAGCUCCAGUUCCACUGGGAACUUCCAUAUCCCAUGGGUGCAGUCCUAAAAAAAGACAAAAAAAAAAAAAAAAUUAGAAGUUCAGCAAAGGGCAAAACAUAUAUAAUGACUAGAGUGUUAUUUCAAGUUUGAACACAAAGAAAUGGGUGGGAAAAAUCUUUCCAGCCGCAAACUUUGCUGAUCCUGUCUCUGCUUUUUCCCUUCAGUCAAACUGCUAAGGGAGAUCAGGAGGGGAAAAAAAAACUCGAAAUCUUUCAGGCAAAUCAACAUGCUUGCUCACCUCUCAGACUUCUUCUCUCACCAUGGCCUGUUUGUGGUUGUUUCCCCUCCCUCCCUUUCUUCUUUUCUUUUGUCUUUUUAUGUCCGCACCCACAGCAUAUGGAGGUUCCCAGGCUAAGAGGCAAAUUGGAGCUGCAGCUGCCGGCCUACACCACAGCCACAGCAACGCCGGAUCCAUAACCCACCAAGCAAGGCCAGGGAUGGAAUCCUCGUCCUCAUGGAUACUAGUCGGGUUGGUUACCACUGAACCACGGUGGGAACUCCUGUGUUUUUUUGUUUUUUUUCUAAUCAUGCAUGUCAUCAGUAAAAACUUUUGAGCAUGCACCCUCCAUACACACACACACACACACACACACACACAUAUACACACAAAUAUAGUAUUUAUUCAUUUGGAUUAUGUAUCAGUUUUAAUCAUGUUCUAUUACAUAUGUCUUAUGUACAUUACAG
rnacentral:lncRNA from 9 species